AAAGUCCCUGUCUGGUAAGGUCUAGCCAACCACCAGUAUCGAGUCUUGCGUGUUGUGCGGAGGUUAUGGAUUAUCGAAGAUUCUCCCGUGGUGCGGCCACAAAUAAUUGAACAAGCAAUGCGAAGCGUAGACAGAGAAUAAUGUAGGCCAUAGGGGAUGCUGUGUCCCUGAAGUGUUGAAAUCGCUGCGAAA
rfam:Catenovulum agarivorans DS-2 contig47, whole genome shotgun sequence.